rnacentral:miRNA from 1 species
CCAUCAUAAUCAGUGAUGAUGCUGACAGUGAUAAUGAUGGCAAUGGUGGAGAUGAAAUUCAUUGCCAUUAUCAUCAUUCGUCAUGAACAAUCAUC